ACAAUCAGGUGAAGUUAGUUUCUUGCCUUGUUACUGGUCACUCUCCUGAUUGCUGUGUCGUACAGGUCCUUGUAUGGUUGGAAUAAUCCUCUGUGGUGGCACAAUCAGCCGGUGGAGAUGCCAUGUACUUCAGCUCGUUUUGAAGCGAUUUCCCUGAGAUAUUAUUAACCCUUUUGACACUGAGAGCCUGCAAGAACAAUCAGGUGAAGCUACAGUGUCUUGCCUUGUUACUGGUCACUCUCCUGAUUGCUGUGUCGUACAGGUCCUUGUAUGGUUGGAAUAAUCCUCUGUGGUGGCACAAUCAGCCGGUGGAGAUGCCAUGUACUUCAGCUCGUUUUGAAGCGAUUUCCCUGAGAUAUUAUUAACCCAUUUGACACUGAGAGCCUGCAAGAACAAUCAGGUGAAGUUAGUUUCUUGCCUUGUUACUGGUCACUCUCCUGAUUGCUGUGUCAUACAGGUCCUUGUAUGGUUGGAAUAAUCCUCUGUGGUGGCACAAUCAGCCGGUGGAGAUGCCAUGUAGUUCAGCUCGUUUUGAAGCGAUUUCCCUGAGAUAUUAUUAACCCCUUUGAAACUGAGAGCCUGCAAGAACUAUCAGGUGAAGUUAACGUUUUUAGCUUACUACUGGUCACUCUCCUGAUUGCUGUGUCGUGCAGGUCCUUGUAUGGUUGGAAUAAACCUCUGUGAUGGCACAAUCAGCCGGUGGAGAUGCCCUGUACUUUUGCUCGUUUUGUCGGGGUCUCCCUGAAAUAUUAUUAACCCUUUUGACACAGAGAGCCUGCAAGAACUAUCAGGUCCUUGUAUGGUUGGAAUAAACCUCUGUGAUAGCACAAUCAGCCAGUGGAGAUGCCCUGUUCUUCUGCUGGUCCAUUUCUCUGUCAGUGACUGCAGACAAAUAUCCUGUACCUCAGCUGGUUUGGAUGGGACUUCUUCGUACUUUACUAUUCAUUUUCACUGUUAGUGACUGUAACGAACAACAGUUGCUGCAAGCAAAAACAGGUGAAGACAGGGUUCCUGUUUCGGUGCCUGGUUGCUGUAGCGUUUGUUGUCUUCUGCAGGUCCUGUGCAUCUAAAAUACUCAUGUGGUACUGAGCGAGUAGAGCAGGCUUCACUGCUAUUAAAACUGGCCGAUGGAAGCGUCCUGUAGCGUCCUACUCAUUUCAACGGGAUAUCCACAAAUCAUGGCGGUCGCUGUACCCUGGCAAUCACUGAAAACGUUGAUGAAAGAAGAGACAGGGAAGUGGAUGAAAGCCGACGGCGUAUGAUGAUCCAGCCCGAACUUCGCAAGGGAUUCUCGCAAGAUAUGUGAUGUAUAUAGUUGUGCUCUUUCGUGUUUAGUUGUUCUCUGGAUACAUCUUCCCAUAAAGGGAAUAGCACGCGUACAGCUUGGAAAUAACGAUACACGAAUUUUCACAUGUAAGGGCAACGGUGAAUUCGCUUGAGCCAACGUCAGGUUGGUCUCGGUUUCCUUCUCUCUCUCUCUCUCUCUCUCUCUCUCUCUCUUUCCGUUGGUCGUCCGUUGGUCGUCCGUUGGUCGUCCGUUGGUCCAUUGCUUCACGAGGUGGCUGUAUUCAUUCUUGGAGGGGAUGGAGCUUGAGCUAGCUCUGAAGUGGUACUACAUGUAACGAAUGCUGGCCGUGCUGUGUGUGUAUUACUUUCUCACUGACGAGUGAGCGCGAACAACGCAAACAACACUAACAACACAGUGAACAUCCCUCACAGCCGGUGCUUUCUUUGAAAUGUAUUUCGUGCCUGCUGAGUCAGUAUGAUGAAUUGUUUGCUGUAUUGUAAUUGAAAUUUGUUCUACGAAAUAUAUAUAUUUC